rnacentral:rRNA from 1 species
GGCUCAGAUUGAACGCUGGCGGCAGGCCUAACACAUGCAAGUCGAGCGGAUGACGGGAGCUUGCUCCUUGAUUCAGCGGCGGACGGGUGAGUAAUGCCUAGGAAUCUGCCUGGUAGUGGGGGACAACGUUUCGAAAGGAACGCUAAUACCGCAUACGUCCUACGGGAGAAAGCAGGGGACCUUCGGGCCUUGCGCUAUCAGAUGAGCCUAGGUCGGAUUAGCUAGUUGGUGAGGUAAUGGCUCACCAAGGCGACGAUCCGUAACUGGUCUGAGAGGAUGAUCAGUCACACUGGAACUGAGACACGGUCCAGACUCCUACGGGAGGCAGCAGUGGGGAAUAUUGGACAAUGGGCGAAAGCCUGAUCCAGCCAUGCCGCGUGUGUGAAGAAGG